GCCUGGGUGGCUCAGUCGGUUAAGCGUCCGACUUCAGCUCAGGUCAUGAUCUCGCGGUCUGCGGGUUCGAGCCCCGCGUCGGGCU
rnacentral:tRNA from 1 species